GUCAGGCAGUCACCACUCAAUUAUUGUGUUUGGCCAAAAAGUCAGCAUCUGGGUCCACCACCAUCAACGAUUCCUUCAAAGCCUAACGCACUUUGGCAAUAGAGGCCUGCCUUGACUCUUUGCUCUGCAGUUUGCUGCAGUGUUUGUGCAUUCUGCUUAUCUUCAUUUUUCCUGUAUUGAAUCUCGCUGAAUUCCUUUUGCAAUGGCGGACGCACUCCUCUCGGCUUCGCUUCAAGUUCUAUUCUACAGAUUGGCUUCUGCAGAGCUCAUCAACUUCAUCCGGGCACAAAAGCUCAGCCAUGAACUCCUCACCAACUUUAAGAGGAAAUUGCUGGUUGUCCACAAAGCGCUCAAUGAUGCGGAGAUGAAGCAAUUUUCAGACCCACUAGUUAAAGACUGGCUGGUCCAAGUUAAGGAUGUUGUGUAUCACGCGGAGGACCUGUUAGACGAGAUCGCUACCGACGCUUUGCGGUCCCAGAUCGAAGCUGCUGACUCCCAAGAUAGCGGAACUCAUCAGGUGUGGAACUGGAAAAAGGUCUCUGCUUGGGUUAAGGCUCCAUUUGCUAGUCAAAGUAUGGAGUCCAGGGUCAAGGGCUUGAUUUCUCUACUUGAAAACAUUGCACAAGAAAAAGUUGAGCUAGGGCUGAAAGAAGGUGAGGGCGAGAAACUGUCACCAAGAUCACCAUCCACUUCUCUGGUGGAUGAGUCCUUUGUGUACGGCAGGAAUGAAAUUAAAGAGGAGAUGGUGAAGUGGUUGCUUUCUGAUAAGGAAAAUGCAACAGGCAACAACAUAGAUGUGAUAUCCAUAAUGGGCAUGGGCGGCAGCGGCAAGACGACACUCGCUCAGCUUCUCUAUAACCAUGAUAGAGUGAAGCAACACUUCCACUUGAAAGCAUGGGUCUGUGUUUCCACCGAGUUUUUUCUAAUCGAGGAGGUAACAAAAUCAUUUCUUAAGGAAAUCGGUUCUGAAACUAAAUCAGACGACACCCUAAAUUUGCUUCAGCUUAAACUCAAAGAGAGCGUAGGUAACAAGAAAUUUCUGCUCGUUCUCGACGACGUCUGGGAUAUGAAGUCUCUUGAUUGGGAUGGCCUACGAAUUCCACUCCUCGCUGCAGCAGAGGGAAGCAAGAUUGUUGUGACCAGUCGUAGUGAAACUGCUGCAAAAAUCAUGCGUGCAAUCCGUAGUCAUCAUCUGGGGACAUUAAGCCCUGAAGAUAGUUGGUCCCUAUUUACAAAACUCGCAUUUCCAAAUGGAGAUUCCAGCGCUUAUCCUCAGCUUGAAACUAUUGGCAGAGAGAUUGUGGACAAGUGCCAAGGAUUGCCUUUGGCUGUAAAAGCACUCGGGAGCCUCUUGGACUCUAAGGCCGAUAAAAGAGAAUGGGAAGAUAUUUUGAACAGCAAAACAUGGCAUUCCCAGACUGAUCAUGAAAUUCUUCCAUCUUUUAGAUUGAGUUAUCAGCAUCUUUCUCCCCCUGUGAAGCGUUGUUUUGCUUACUGUUCAAUUUUUGCUAAGGACCAUGAAUUUGACAAAAAGAAGCUGAUUCUAUUAUGGAUGGCAGAAGGGCUUUUACACGCGGGACAAAGGGACGAAAGAAUGGAAGAGGUAGGUGAGUCAUGUUUUAAUGAGCUUGUAGCAAAGUCAUUUUUCCAAAAAUCUAUUACAAAAGAAUCAUGUUUUGUAAUACAUGAUUUAAUACAUGACUUGGCUCAACAUAUCUCAGGAGAAUUUUGUGUUCAAUUGGAACAGUAUAAGGUGCAAAAAAUAACUGAGAUGACUCGCCAUUUUCGCUACUCUAAUAGUGAUGAUGACAGGAUGGUUGUAUUUCAAAAGUUUGAGGCUGUUGGUGAAGCUAAACAUCUUAGAACCUUUCUGGACGAGAAGAAAUAUCCAUACUUCGGGUUUUAUACAUUGAGUAAAAGAGUUUUACAAAAUAUAUUACCAAAAUUUAAAUCCUUGCGUGUGUUGUCAUUGUGUGCAUACAAGAUAACUGAAGUGCCUGAUUCAAUACACAAUUUAACACAAUUGUGUUACUUGGAUAGUUGGAUCUCUCCUCAACACAGAUUCAAAGAUUACCUGAAUCAGUAUGUUGUUUAUGCAAUUUGCAAACAAUGAUACUGAGUAAACGCUGGAGUCUUCUUCAAUUGCCUUCAAAGAUGGGGAAGUUGAUUAAUUUGCGUUAUCUUGAUAUUAGCGGAGUUAUUUCAUUGAAAGAAAUGCCAAAUGAUAUAGAUCAAUUAAAAAGUUUACAACAAUUGCCUUAUGUCAUUGUGAGCCAAAAAAGUGGUUUCGGAAUUGAAGGAUUGAGGGAGUUUCCAGAGAUUCGAGGAAUACUUAAAAUCUCAAACAUGGAGAAUGUGGUGUGUGUUAAGGAUGCAUUGCAAGCAAAUAUGAAGGAUAAGAGAUACCUCGAUGAGUUAUCCCUCAAUUGGGACGAAAUGAUUAGCAAUGAUGUUAUACAAAGUGGUGCAAUAGAUGAUAUUCUCAACAAGUUACAACCUCAUCCAAAUUUAAAAAAACUCUCCAUCGUAAGCUAUCCUGGUGUAACAUUUCCUAAUUGGCUUGGAGAUCAUUCUUGAAUCUUGGGUCCCUUGAGCUUUCGGGUUGUGAGAAUUGCUCAACAUUGCCGCCACUUGGACAGCUACCUUGUCUUGAACAUCUAGAGAUCUCAAACAUGAAAGGAGUAGCGAGGGUGGGUAGUGAGUUUUAUGGGAAUUCUUUUUCCUCACUUCAGCCCUCCUUCCCAUCCCUGCAAACUCUUAUCAUUUUCAUUCAUGGACAAUUGGGAGAUAUGGUUAUGUUGUGGAGGCAGACAUGGAGAAUUCCCUCGUCUCCAGAAGCUUUUUAUGUGGAGCUGUCGCAAAUUCACUGGGGAAUUACUAAUACACCUUCCUUCAUUGAAGAAACUUUACCUUGAUAGAUGUCCGCAAUUGCUUGUGCCUACACUUAACGUUUCUGCUGCCUGUGGAUUGCAUUUGAAAAGGCAAGCUUGUGGGUUCACAGCUCUUCAAACUUCAGAUAUUGAAAUUUCAAACGUCUCUCAGUUGAAGCAACUUCCAGUGGUACCCCACAAUCUCUUCAUUAUAAAGUCUGAUUCCGUGGAGGAAAUCCUGCAAACCAACAUGUAUCGGUAUCGUUUAGAAAUUUGUUGCUGCUCUUUUUCCAGAUCCCCGAGCAAAGUUGGCUUACCCACUACAUUGAAAUUACUAUCAAUCUCUAACUGUACCAAAGUGGACCUUCUUCUACCUGUGUUGUUCAGAUGCCAUCACCCUGUCUUUAAAAGGCUAUGGAUCAAUGGUGGUACCUACGAUAAUUCUCUCCCGUUAUCCUUCUCAAUAUUGGACAUCUUCCCAAGGUUGACUGAGUUCAAAAUCAAUGAUCUUGAGGGGCUCGAGAAGCUCCGCAUUUCGAUUUCAGAGGGGGAUCCCACAUCUCUUCGUAAGUUAGAAAUUAGAAGGUGCCCUAAUCUUGUAUACAUCCAACUGCCCGCUGUCAACUCGAUGUACCAUGAGAUUUCCAAUUUCUCCACACAUUCAUCUCUGCAGCAACUGCGUUUAGAGGAUUGUCCAGAAGUGUUGUUUCAUGGAGAGGGUUUGCCUUCCAACCUACGUGAACUUCAAAUUUUUGGCUGCAACCAACUCGUGUCCCAGAUGGACUGGGAUUUGCAAAGUUUACCUCUCUUACUGAGUUCACAAUCCUAGGUGGAUGUGAAGAUGCAGAAUUAUUUCCCAAGGAGUGCCUGCUGCCCUCCUCUCUGACUUCUCUUAAAAUUGUAAAGCUUCCGAAUCUCAAGUCUCUUGACAGCAAGGGGCUUCAAAAACUCACCUCUCUUGUAAAAUUAUGGAUCAUGGAUUGCCCUGAACUCCAAUCCUUGACGGAAGCAGGUCUUCACCACCUCACCAGUCUUGAAAUCUUGAAUAUACACAAAUGCCCUAAACUCCAAUACUUGACAAAAGAGAGACUGCCAGACUCACUCUCUCAUCUGAAUGUCUGCGAGUGUCCUUCACUGGAACAACGUUGCCAAUUUGAGAAAGGGCCAGAAUGGCGUCAUAUAUCUCACAUUUCAAAAAUAGUGAUCGGUAAUGUGCUUUUUUGAUGAAAGUGGCACUGCACCAACAUUUAGUCAAGUAAUUGUUUUGUGCUUAAACCCAUUUUCUUUAGAAAAUUUAUGUUCCAAUUCAUAAAGUAGCCAACCAAAUUUCCAAUCUCAAGAAUAUAUCCGGAAAAUUCCUUGGUUCCGUUUAUUUGAUUUAAGAUUUUAUUCUUCUUUUGAAGCUUCAAGCCUGGGACGAAUAUUGAAGGGCUAUAAAUGAGGAUUCAACCUAGGUGCUCACAUUUUAACACAGGCAAUUCUCAUAUUUUAACGGCAUGGAGGAAACCAUGGAUGUAUUCAAGUUAACUACUUAUUAGUCUUGAUCUCCAUUUUGCAUUCAAAGGCCCUUGAUCUGCUCAACACUCAUGAAGAAUUGUACAUCUACACGGGUCAUUGGUUGGUCUGGUUGUUGGAGAUUUGGGCAGGCAACAAACUCUAUUUUUUUGACUUUAGAAGUUCUCCCACAAAGAAAAAAGGAGCAAAAGGAAGUUUGAUUCUAGUAACCAGGAUGAGCAUAGAAGACUUCUUACGAGGAACAAAUUAAGUUCGAUUAUGAUAAUAGCAGCCUGCAUUGAUUGGGAGUCUCUGUAACAAAAACUAGUCUAUUUUUGCACUAAGUGGUUGGCCUUUUAAAGGUCUUGACCAUGAUUAGGAAUUUCUGUAUAUUUUCUGUUGUCGUGGAGAUGAUCAUUGACAUCAAUGUCAUGGAUACCAUUUCAGUCUGUAGUUAUGGAUCACAAGAGAAGACAUAAAUCUUCUUAUGCUUGGUUCUCAUUUGCAGAAUUAUCAUUGGCAUGCCUGCACUUCUAUCAGCAAUGCCUGACGACAUUUGCAGCAUAGGCACCAGUGGCUGUGGCAGUGGGAUUUGUGGAUUUAACAGCUAUUGUAUUGUUUGAUGAAGAGGGGAGGCUGUCCAGAUGUGUGUGCCUAUAUAGGUAUUCCUUCUUGGAUCCAGAUUUUAAAGACCAAAUUUUCUCAAAUGCCCGGUUGCCAAGAAAAUGAAGGGGAAGCACAGAAGAAUGCAGUAGAGUUCAUAUAAUUGUGAACUUCAUAUUGGAUGGGCUAUUGACAAGCAAAAUCAAGUUCCAGACAGAACAUAAUCCCACGUCUCUUCAGUACUUGCAAAUAAGAGGAUACCCUGAUCUUGUAUAAAUGCAAUUGUUCCCUCUCAACUCCAAAAAUAGCGAUCAAUGGUGUGUUAUUUUAAUGACAGUGGUACUACACAUAUACGGUCAGCUUUGAUUGAAGAAUUUUCCAAUGAAGAAAAGGAGAGUAAAAGAAGAUUGAUCCUCAGUAAUUCACAUUUUUACAAAGUCCGUUAUCAUAUUUUCAUGACCUCUUCAGUUUGCCUUCUUGAAUAGGCAAAGAUGACUCUUAGCUACCUUUGUAUUUAUCUCAUGUAAGAACAUGACAUUUUGAGGUAGUUCGUGGUUAUUGAAUAUGUAUUGAAUCUUACAACAUCAUAAUAUAUUUUUAGUUGGCUGCUUAUGUACAUGUUUUAACUUUGCUUCAUUCGAUAUCAAACUAAAUUAAUCACUACUUUUUUCCUUUUCUUUCUCUAUGUCUCAUUUUAAGUACCGAGGAUCAGCAUAGAAGACUUAUUAUGAGAAAUAAAGUAUGAUAUGACCAUGGAAAAACAUGUGAGCUUGCACUGAUUGGGAGCCCCUGUAAAAAAAACCUGGUCUAUUUUGCACUAACCCAGUGGACUACCUUCAAAAGAUGAAGGGGAAGCAGAGAAGAAUGCAGCAGAGUUCAUAGAUUAAAAAACAUAGUCUGGCAAGUCUCUGAUUAUGAACUUCGGAUUGGAUGGGCUGUUGGCAAGGAGAAAUUUUUAACAGUUUUGUAAAGAGGAUUGCUUCUGUGCAGUAGCCAUUUAUACAGACAUGGCAGAAGAGAUUUCCUCUGUCCUGUGGAAGACAGAGCAAAAGUCUUGCAAAGAGGCCCAGAUAAGUCUACCUUGAUCCUUGUUGGGUCGCUACUUCCUUGGCAACUCAGUGUUCUUCAAUCUCUUUUUGGGGAUAGCUAUAGCUGUGGGUGCUGUCUUCUGAUAAUGUAAGAAACUGCUCAGUCUCCAGUUUGUUUCAAACAUACUGGGGACUACUACUGUUAUACUCUUAGUUUGUAUCCACAUUAUAACAUUGAACCUAAGGAAAUUUUUUUAAAAA